rnacentral:rRNA from 1 species
GAUGAACGCUGGCGGCGUGCUUAAUACAUGCAAGUCGAGCGAACAGACGAGGAGCUUGCUCCUCUGACGUUAGCGGCGGACGGGUGAGUAACACGUGGAUAACCUACCUAUAAGACUGGGAUAACUUCGGGAAACCGGAGCUAAUACCGGAUAACAUGUUGAACCGCAUGGUUCAACAGUGAAAGACGGUCUUGCUGUCACUUAUAGAUGGAUCCGCGCCGCAUUAGCUAGUUGGUAAGGUAACGGCUUACCAAGGAAACGAUGCGUAGCCGACCUGAGAGGGUGAUCGGCCACACUGGAACUGAGACACGGUCCAGACUCCUACGGGAGGCAGCAGUAGGGAAUCUUCCGCAAAGGGCGAAAGCCUGACGGAGCAACGCCGCGUGAGUGAAGAAGGUCUUCGGAUCGUAAAACUCUGUUAUUAGGGAAGAACAAAUGUGUAAGUAACUAUGCACGUCUUGACGGUACCUAAUCAGAAAGCCACGGCUAACUACGUG